CUCAGGUGGAAUGCCAUCAGGGCCGGCUCCAGGCACCAGCGUAGGAAACAGGUGCUUGAGGCGGCCAAUUCAAAGGGGCAACACUCCAUCCGGUAUCGGUGUGGCAUGUCUGGA